rnacentral:lncRNA from 1 species
AGUUUGAAGGUUGAGGAAUCAAAUCCCCAACCCCUUGGGCUUUGAUUCCAUAAGAUGAUGAUUUAAUUUAGCUUUUCAUGACUAGGGUUCUUGAGACAAUACAAUUCAGUUAGGAGUUUAGGUUAUAAGUUGACUGAAAUCAUUGAUGAAUUUGAAUGGAGGGGUACGAAACAAGUUUAUUGGUGGUUGAAUUUCUUGGUUUGGCCCUUCGCCGCUGCCGGAGGCGACCUCCGACACGGUGGAGGGCGGUUACUUUAGGCAAGGUAGAUAGAGGUAUUCCUGAGCGCGUGUUUUUGAUUUUGAUUUGAACAUUUGAUCUGAAGCUACUCACUUCCCCCUCCCUGAUGUGUGUAAUUGGGCUUCUCACCAUAGGCCCAAGAUACCUCUCAUUAUUACACUUGAAUAUUACUAGGCAUACCCCCUGACUCCAAGCAAUAAACGUGUGGGCCUUGGUGCAAUGGGCAUGUGCCCUAAAUCCUUUUUUAGCUCUUACACCACCUGCCUUUUGUGUAUUUUUCCUUAUAUUUUCUCUGUUAUAUUUUUCUUUUGUCAAGAUUUUCUUUUCUUUUUAGUUGUUAAAAUGCAUUUUGACAUAAAAGAUUGAAAGAGUUGUCAUGAUUAGAACUUAGAUUUUUAAUUAGGUUUAAUUGAAUUUUUAAUCAUUUUGAAAUUGAGUAUUUAAUAUACUUUGAAAUAAUAUGGUUAAGCUAGAAUCUUGAUUAGGUUUUGAUCCAAAAUGAUAUAAUUUGAAUGUCAAUUGUAUGCUAAUUUUCAUUUAGUUUUGUGGUUAAUAUGCAGUUACUUUCCCAUUAGAGUUUAAUUCAUUUCUUGAUUGAAAAUCUCUUUGAUGCAUGAUUCCAUUUAGCUUUGUGUUUCAUUUUGAUGCAUGAUUAAUAUUAUACCUAGCCUCUAACUUACAUUCUUGUUGUAUCCAUUCAUGUUGCAUUACAUAGUUGAAUGUGUUUAACUCUGCCAUUGUCACUUGAUUAUUUUAGGUAUGAUAUUAUUGUAAGCUUGUAUGAACUUUUCAUUUCAUGUAUGGUUUGUAAUUCAUCCCCCCAUAGUGGGUAAAAUAUCCUCCACUCGCAUGAACAUAUAAUAGUUUAGGAUUUAUCUUUCCUUUAUUGCUUCCCUUUGCAUGUUAACUAACAAGGUAAAAUCAAACGAUAAAAAGAAAUUUUCCAAAGUUUAAACACAUUUGAUCCAACGUCAAGUGUUUUUCCAAAUCAAAUUCACAAAAGCAACGUGAGUGUUUGAUCCAAAGUCAAGUAUCUCAUUCAUUCCAUUAUAUUCUUACACUUCUAUAUUUAUCUCUAUCACAUUCUUCUCACACCUUUCACAAAUAAAUUUCAAACACUUGAUCCAACGUCAAGUGACUUUUAAAAAAAAAAAUCACAAUAAACUGGAAGACAAAGAUAAGGUGUACGUACUUGUGCACAACAAUCAAGUACUUGGGUUAUUGGUCGUACCUAGAUUAUGGCCCGAUACUUGACUUCCCUUUAAAACACGUAAUAAUAAAACGAGUUUAAUCUGGUGUUCUGAAAGUGAAAAGAAUGGUUAGGAUGCCAUUGUCCUCUCGACUCCCGAGUAUUCUGAUUGUUGGUCGUACUUAGCUAGUGGUUAGAUGUUUGUCUCCCUCUAAGUACCAACAGUUAAAAUCGCCAAAUAAUUUCAUAAAAAAAUCUUUGGAUGAAAAAGUGGGGUUAGGAUGUCACUGUCCUCUCAACUCCCAAGCACUCAUAUUGUCGGUUAUAGUUAGCUUGUGGUAUGAUACUUGUCUCCACUCUAAAAUCAACCACAACCAAUCAAAUCCAAUAUUUCUCCUUAUGGCAUCCAAAACCUUUUCACAAAGGACAUGUUACUUCCUCUCUACCGUGGUAUGAACAACGCUUAAGCCUCUUAUGCACGAGCAUACAAGUCAUGUUUAACUGCUAGAAUGUGAUCCUUGCGCAUCCAUUCUAACGCAAACAAACAAACACCUAAGUCUCCCAUGCGCAAGCAUACAAGCAAGGUUAACUGCUAGAACGUGAAUGUUAACAUUGUCUACUAAAAACAAUCAACACACACUCCAUUUUGUACUCGGAACUAUGGAGCUUUGAUUUCCUUAUUGCACUAUGAGGAUAUGUAGGCACAGGAUUGCAAAAUCUUGGCGAGCACACUAAUUUAAAACUUAUUUUUUUCUCCUUUCAAGUAAAAACAAGUAACCUUCAAAUAACAACAUCCAUACGCACAAAGAACAAGCAAAGUGGUACCCAUUGAGUACAACGAAUGUGAGAGGUGCUAAUACCUUCCCCUUGCAUAACCGACUCCUGAAUUUAUCCUUGGUUGUGAUGACCAUUCUUUUGGGGUUUUAUCGAUAUUUUCCCUUUCCAUUGGAAUAUAUAAAAUUCGGUGGCGACUCUGUAUUUUUCGUGGCGCGACAGUUGGCGACUCUGUAUUUUUUGCAGCACGACAACUGCCGACUCUGUUGGGGAUACUGAUAAGCAAUUCAAGCCCAAUUUUACUUGUAUCCUUUUGUGCUUCAGAUGUUUACCUUUAUCUUACUUGCUUUCACAUAUCUAUUGAUGUUAUACUUUAUAUAUCUUGUAUAUAUGUUUCACUCUUGUGGGAUGGUUUUCUGAUGCUAUUGAGUGAUAAGCCCAAUACCCAGGCUUGGAGAGUACACCCGAGGUAGAUUGGGAGCUCUGUACUGAUUUGUCGGACGCAGUUGUCUCAAUGGGAAUGUGUGAAGACCCCGCCUAGUGUAGAUUCUGUUUUAAGUUUCAUUGGCACGUAAGUCACUUCGUGUUGACAACCAUUCUUCCAAUGGGGAUCCAUGACUAUAGGAACCUUUAGCAAACCCGUGGCUUUUGAAGUUAAGGGUGACCUUACUUAGAGUAGAUCCUUCUGAGGGUAUCGUUGGCCCACAAGUCAUUUUGUGAUGACAACGAUAUUUUUGCCUUGAGAUCCGUAACUCUAAGCAUCUUCAUAAAGCUUUAGAACUCACCUGUGAGGGGAUAUGGGUUUCUUGCAGGAAAACUAAGCUCUGACCUACCUUGAAUCUUUUGUAGUCUGUCAUCUGAAUCAUAAACAUGCAUAACAUUUUCAUUGCAUGAAUUUUCAUUUGGGCCUUAUUCUCAGUGAAUCUUAAAGGUUUACAUUAUACAGUGGGCACUUGAAAAUGAGUUCAGAUAAAAAGAACAUGUUUCCUGUCAAGUUCAAGCUACCAAAGACCGAUAGAUGAAUAAAACUUGACUUGUUUACUUCUAUGUGCUUACUUUAUCUGCCAUUUGUAAUGUUUGCUAAUCAUCAUAAAUCAUGUAAGGUUCCCCGAGAAUAAAAACAAUAGGCAUAAAUUAUUCAUCAUGCAUCAUCUUGUAUUUCAUAAGACAAAGACCAAUUAAACUCACUCUUACUUGGCCUUGUGUCCAGAAUUCGCUACCGUCAAAGUUACUUCUCGACAUCCCUACUAAAGCUAGCGAAAAUAUACCAGAACGCAUCGCACGCUCGAAGAUACAACAUAGUCUCCAUCUAACUUUAUUUAUUCCUGAAGAAAAGGGAAAACAUCGAUAAAACUCGUGGGAAGAGAAAAGGGAUGAUCAACCAUGAAGGAUGGAAACAAGGCAUUAUCAAUCGUGGAGAUUGAAAAUAAGGGUUCAUCAACCAUGAACGUUGGAGACAACAAAAAUCAUCAACCAUAAAGGUUGGAAACAAAAGGACUGUCAAUCGUGAGGAUUGAAAAAAGGGUUCAUCAACCAUGAAGGUUGUAAACAAAGAAUUAUCGGUUACGAGGAUCGAAAAAGAUUAUCAUCCCUAAAGGUAGAAAAUAAAAGGAUUAUCAAUCAUGAAGGUCGGAAAAAGAUUCAUCAACCCAAAAGGUUGGAAACAAAAGGGGCUUUAACCAUGAAGGUUGGAAAAAGAUGCAUCAACCCUGAAGGUUGGAAACAAAAGGGGAAUCAACUGUGAGGAUCGAAAAAGAUUAUCAGUCAAGGAUGUUGAAAAAAAGAUCAACAACCAUGGCUUUAAUAAGAUGAUCUUUAAGAAUACCAAUAAAUUGGGCUUUAAAAGAUACCAAGCAGAUUGGGUUUUAAGGACAUUGCAAACAAGACCAGGCUUUAAAAGAUACCAGGCAAGUUUGGAGUUUUGGAAGUGCCAACAAGAUAUUAGGCUUUGGCUUUUCUGAUUUACAUACAUGGCUUCAUGCUAUGCUAGAUGAAUGAUAUGCAUGAAUGAAGUGACGUGAUUAGUACGUGGUGAUGAUUUAUUCAAUGGUUAAACUAUAUGCUCAUAUUGAGGGAGGUGAGAACUUUAGGCUAUGGUACAGGUCAUAUAUACGUGAUUCUAUAACACCUACUUCAUGCUUCACCGUUGUUGUCACACCUCUGGACUUGAUCUAAAAUAUGGAGAGAGCUUGUACCUUCAUAGCUUACCUCUGCCCAAGUUGGUUGGGCAUCUGUAUUAAUUACCCCAGUCACAAGCUAUGAAGUAGUCUUGCCAUUGGAAGAUCUUAAAUUGGCCAUCCCUAGUGUCUUGGAAAUGUAUCCCCUCGACUAACCAUUUCCUGAAGUGAUUGAUUUCUCGUGCUCAUGGGGUGGCCUGCCCCAAUAUGAGCCUUGAAGUAACUUUUCCCCUGUCUAGCUGAUUUAGAGAGAUUUGUCG